GGAACCCAAGUUGGAAGUCAUAAUUAUCAUCGUAUUCUUAAAGUUAACUAAACGACCUUGAGAGUCCUUUAAAGUACCAUCAUCUAAUACUUGUAAAAGAAUAUUAGUUACAUCAGGGUGUGCUUUUUCAAUUUCAUCGAACAGAAGCACACAGUAAGGUUUGCGUCGGACUGCUUCAGUUAGUAAACCAGAUUGUUCAUAACCUACAUAUCCAGGAG
rnacentral:sRNA from 1 species